rnacentral:rRNA from 1 species
UACAGAGGGGGCAAGCGUUGUUCGGAAUUACUGGGCGUAAAGGGCGCGUAGGCGGCCCACUAAGUCGAACGUGAAAUCCCUGGGCUCAACCCAGGAACUGCGUCCGAUACUGGUGGGCUUGAAUCCGGGAGAGGGAUGUGGAAUUCCAGGUGUAGCGGUGAAAUGCGUAGAUAUCUGGAGGAACACCGGUGGCGAAGGCGACAUCCUGGACCGGUAUUGACGCUGAGGCGCGAAAGCCAGGGGAGCAAACGGG